rnacentral:piRNA from 1 species
UGUCCAAGUGUGCUUUUAGAGUGAUA